rnacentral:rRNA from 1 species
AACAAACGCUGGCGGCGUGCCUAACACAUGCAAGUCGUACGAGAAAGUCGGCUUCGGCCGAUGAGUACAGUGGCGCACGGGUGAGUAGCGCGUGGGUAAUCUGCCCCCCGGUCAGGAAUAACCCGCCGAAAGGCGGGCUAAUACCCGAUAACACUGACGCUCCGCGGAGCGUCUUUCAAAGAAGGCCUCUGUUUACAAGCUUUCGCCGGAGGAUGAGCCCGCGUACCAUUAGCUAGUUGGCAGGGUAAUGGCCUACCAAGGCUACGAUGGUUAGCUGGUCUGAGAGGAUGGCCAGCCACACUGGAACUGAGACACGGUCCAGACUCCUACGGGAGGCAGCAGUGAGGAAUCUUGCGCAAUGGGGGAAACCCUGACGCAGCAACGCCGCGUGAGUGAGGAAGGCCUUCGGUCGUAAGCUCUGUCAGAUGGGAAGAAAUGGAUGGGGGCGUAAUAUCGCCCAUCCUUGACGGUACCGACUCAGAGGAAGCACCGGCUAACUCCG